rnacentral:tRNA from 1 species
UCCUCUAUGGUAGAUGGUCACUACUUCGGAGGUACUUGGAAGGUACUCUGAAGGUAGUUCAAAUUCCUCUAUGGUAGAU